UGUUUCUCCUCCAUUCUCUCAGCAUCCAGAAUUGGAUUGAGGACUUAUUUUGGAAACAACUUGAUUUUGACUAUCCAGGCAUGAGUGAAGCAAAGGUGUACAGUGGGUUUUAUUCUGCAUAUCAUAAUACAACAUUGUGUGACGGAGUCAUCAAUGGCAUCCAGAAGACCAGGGAAGCAUAUGGCAAUAUUCCCAUCAUGAUGACAUGACAUUCCAUGGGAGGGGCCAUGGCUUCGUUUUGUGCCCUUGAUCUUAUUGUCAACUACGGGUUAAAGGACGUGACCCUGCUAACAUUUGGGCAACCUCGGAUUGAUCAUGCUCACCUCAAACUGGCGACGGCGCGCUGAGGUGGAGAGGGCUGCGGCGACACGUCUCCUUCCCCCUUCUGUGUCUUCUCCGUUGACCCCAGCUCCACCUC